rnacentral:rRNA from 1 species
GAUAAACGCUGGCGGCGUGCCUAAUACAUGUAAGUCGAACGAGGGACUUUUGUAGCAAUACGAGGGUUUCCUAGUGGCGAAUGGGUGAGUAACGCGUUGGUGACCUGCCCCAAAGUGAGGGAUAACAGUUCGAAAGGACUGCUAAUACCACAUGUGGUCAGCGGGUUUAGAAACCGCUGAAAAAGAAGCAAUUCGCUUUGGGAGGGACCUGCGUCCCAUCAGCUAGUUGGUAGGGUAAUGGCCUACCAAGGCUGCGACGGGUAGGGGGCCUGAGAGGGUGGCCCCCCACAUUGGCACUGACACACGGGCCAAACACCUACGGGUGGCUG